rnacentral:rRNA from 1 species
GACCGAUAGCGCACAAGUAGAGUGAUCGAAAGAUGAAAAGCACUUUGGAAAGAGAGUUAAACAGUACGUGAAAUUGUUGAAAGGGAAGCGCUUGCGACCAGACUUGCCCGCGGGUGAUCAACCGUCCUUCGGGGCGGUGCACUGAUCCGCGGCGCAGGCCAGCAUCGGUUUCGGCGGCCAGAGAAACGGGGCGGGAACGUGGCUCCCUUCGGGGAGUGUUACAGCCCGCUCCAGCAUGUGGCCCGCCGGGACCGAGGACCGCGCUCCGGCUAGGAUGCUGGCGUAAUGGUCGUCAGCGACCCGUCUUGAAACACGGACCAAGGAGUUGUCAAGCGACGCGAGUCUUUGGGUGUCAAMCCCACGGKMGCAAUGAAAGUGAACGGAGGUGGGAACCCCCUCGGGGGCGCACCAUCGACCGAUCCUGAUGUCUUCGGAUGGAUUUGAGUACGAGCGUCGGUUGACUGACCCGAAAGAUGGUGAACUAUGCGUGAAUAGGGUGAAGCCAGAGGAAACUCUGGUGGAGGCUCGCAGCGGUUCUGACGUGCAAAUCGAUCGUCGAAUUUGCGUAUAGGGGCGAAAGACUAAUCGAACCAUCUAGUAGCUGGUUCCAGCCGAAGUUUCCCUCAGAUAGCAGUAACGUUUUCAGUUUAUGAGUAAGCGAAUGAUUAGAGGCCUUGGGGAUGAACAUCUWACUAUCUCAACUUAAUAUGUAGAGUCUGUGCUAUGACGUGACAUUGAUGCACGUACUAGUGGCAUUUUGUAGCAGACUG